rnacentral:tRNA from 1 species
UCCUCAAUAGCUCAGCGGUAGAGCAUUCGGCUGUUAACCGAAGGGUCGUAGGUUCGAGCCCUACUUGAGGAGCCA